AACACUUGAGUUACUUUUACUUACCGCACAAUUUCAGGUGAGAUAUUUACUUGAAGGAUUUCUGUUUUUAUUUCUUCUUCGCAGAACUUAAACGGCACACACAAACACCCAAAAACAAACCAGCAAAUUUAAGACAACAAAGGUGUUCUGAGGUCUGUCUGUCCCACUUUAGCCUACAGCACUGCAGAUUGGAGAGUGUUGGUGUGAUAACAUAAGGGUUUAAGUGACCUUCUUUGUGCUAAACCAUUUGGGAUGAUACGCUUUAGAUGGCGGCCAAUUUAUUUAGAGUUUGCGACAAAAGGUUUUCAUCACGGAGCCAACUCCAACACAGUAAACUCGGCUGCACAGAAUGUCUGGAUAACGUGACAAAAAAAGUGCGUUUAUUGUAAUUGCUUAGACUUGCGGUAACGGAAACGACCACAAGGUGGCGUUAGGAGACCAGCAUGAACACACUUCCCCCCGACAGGCCGAGAAGACGUGAAAGCUGCUGGAUGGAGGGAAGGGAAAUAUAAGGACUCCGAAUGGGCUGGAAAAACAACGAGUAGCCUCCCGAAUCUGUGGAAAAAUGAAGGACCGAGCUGUAAAAUUUAACACAGCCCACGGACGAGGUGGUUUUACCAGUUGGAGCCCUCAGGGCCUCGGGACAGCUUUCCAUAAGGGCUUCAGUUGAGAUUUUGUGCCCUGUGGCAGACAAAACCGCAUGGUGAAAGUGACGUUCAUAGGGAACCGAUCUAAACGCAGACUUUCACAGCCAGCACGUGGCGCAGUUCACCAGAGAGAUGCGAGUACAGGAGUGUUGAGGCGUGGGAAAGUGACAGAAUCAAAGCACAGAGGGUCAGCCUGCCCUCAGCUAAGCUCUACAACGUCUCCCAACACCUGCCGACUCCCUCCGUCUCAUCAGUGUCUUAUCGACUUAAUGUGAUGUAACAGACCAGAACUGUAAAGAUUAGAGUGUAAACAGUAGUUUUAUUUCUGCUUGUUUAUAGCUUACACAUGACAUCUCUUUUUAACGCUGUGGAGAUUGUUUGAGUUUGCUUACGCAGUAUUUCUGGGCUACUUUGAUGGACCGGAUACAAGUUUCAGUUCACCCAGUUUCACCCAUACAAUAACCAGUUAGUUAUCGGUUUACGAGUACGACUAAUAUGUGAAAGAAUUUGUACCACGGAGAACACACCAAAGGAAAGUGAAUGGACUUUUAUUGUGAAUGGUUUUUUUUAUUUUAAUUCAUUUUUCAUUUGCAUGUAUUUUGUUGUCAUUCGCCAGUUUUA